GCGUAUCUCUAGCUAAACAAAUAUGGAAUAGAUUUCCAGUGUGUUACACAGCCAAAUCUUUUUACGAUACCGAACCCGUACAGGUUCCUUAAAUAGCCAUGGGCUUUUUGUUGUUGUUAGCGAUAUGAGCACUACCUAUAAUCCCUUAAAAAGCCCUAUAAACCUAUAAAAGCAAGUUCUGUGUGACGACGAAACCCGUCGAGUCUAAAUAGCGUCAAUUAAUGUAUGAGGGUCAAUUAAGCCAUUCUGUUAAUUACUAUUACCCUGCUAGUUAAUGGCUAUUGUCAGAAAUUUUUUGUGUGGCGGCGAGCGACGACUGGAAGAAGAAACGGCCGCCGGACAACGUUACGCUGUGCAUUCGCAUGAAGGCUUCCUUAUUUUUCCGAAGUUCACCCGGGAUGCAUUUGCAACGCUUUUGAUUCGACUGACCGAUGCACGUAACCGGCACCGCGAUGAUAUUCCUCACGAUCAGAUACAGCAACUAUUGAUCCUCAAACAGCGUUAUGACAUUGCCAAUUGUGAGAGACUGAAGGUACCUACGGAUUUUACGUAUUCGGAUGUCAUCAUGAGAGAUAUUGAGCGACAACUAUUCAAUGACUUUAUCGGUCGUGUGGAAGCUGAAGUAAUUGCAAUUCUCUUUGCGAAUGCACUCGAAGGCACCGAGCUAGACCUCAAGAUUACGCAAGGUCAGAGCUGUACAUCAGUCCGCCUGAAAUUUCAAAAUGAAGAGUGGAUGGUCCACUCAUUCAUACAGGGGACGUUAUGAAGCAGCUAACAUCGAAAGGUUGAAAGCACCCGUGAUUUAUACUUACUUUGACGAGGUGAUGCGAGAUAUUGAACGGCAACUUUUCGGCGAUCUGAUUGGACAUCUAGUGUUCAGGGCAGUCUGCAUAAGAGACGCUCCUGAAGACCUUCAAGUCGAUCUGAAGAUAUAUCAUGGUCCAAGUGUCGGGUCGCUUAAACUGGAGAUGGAUAGUGCUGUAUGGACUUACCAUUACCUCGUCCAGGGUCAGCCUACAGAUGAAAUUUGGUUUAGGAUCAGCCCAAAGACACCUACAGUAAAGAUGGAGCUGACAUCAAAAGCAGGAAUUUUCGGUUUCUUCAAAUACCGAUUAGUCAAUUGGGGAGAACCAGUCGAGUUCGAUGUCCUUGAUUUAAUAGCACGAAAAAGUUUGCUUGAUGUCACCUUCGGAAAAAUCAAGGUGCGACUGAAAUGUGUCUGGCGACCUUCCAGUUGGUACGAAAUGCAGCUGGGAAACAGCGGACAAAAUCAAUGAACUAGCUAUAGAAUGGCUAGCUACAAUACGAUCUACGGGUAGUCGUUCUUUUUUUUUGAAAAAUACACUAUUACUCGUUAGGCAGAUCUAAUUAGUGAACUGUAAUCGAUAGCGAAUCUGAUAGGGAAUCCUCGAAUAGGAAUAACUAAAACGCUUCGAACUAAUUCUUUCCAGAUAAGAUAUAGUGACUAACCGGAGA